rnacentral:rRNA from 2 species
GGUGCUCGAGUGGCGAACGGGUGAGUAACACGUGAGUAACCUGCCCUUGACUUUGGGAUAACUUCAGGAAACUGGGGCUAAUACCGGAUAGGAGCUCCUGCUGCAUGGUGGGGGUUGGAAAGUUUCGGCGGUUGGGGAUGGACUCGCGGCUUAUCAGCUUGUUGGUGGGGUAGUGGCUUACCAAGGCUUUGACGGGUAGCCGGCCUGAGAGGGUGACCGGCCACAUUGGGACUGAGAUACGGCCCAG